UGCUGUGGUACUGGUGCGAUAUUACUGAUCAGUAUCAUAAAGAGCGCCCCCAAUAGUGCUUCUAUGAAAGAUAAUGAAAGAUAAAAUUUCUAAAUUAUUACCGAAUGGUACGUAUGCCUGUGUUAUUCAUAAUUCAAGCGAGGCUUUUAUUUUGAGAUAUUCAGAAAAACAAACUUCCGGAUUGGAGUCUUGUUUAGAGUUGCUGAUUUCACAUUGUUUCUAUGGUCGUUGUAUUCUCGAAAAUAGUCUUCAGGGAGUCGUUUAGUCGUAUAAUUUGUCCAAUGUCAAGUGUGGAAAAUGCACUUGAAGGAGUCUGGAUUGCGUUGAAGAGGCUUGACCUUAACGAUUAAUACCAGUAAACAGCAAACAAAUGCCUUAUGUCUUGGAGGUGGCAAAAUACUUUCAGCAUGGACAUUGAAUUGAUAAACCAGAAGCUGAUAUUUCUUCACAAAAGAAUGCAGACUUUCCACUGUAAUUUUGAGGUGUGGGCAAUUCCAUGGUUGAAGAUAAUGAAAACCACAUUCUUCAUCUGUAAUCCUUUAAACAAGUAAUAUCCCAUGUUUACCAGAAUGUUUUUUUUUCUUUCAACAAUACAAGCAACAAGAAUCUGCAUUGGCAUAGUAUGAGCUGCCACAAAAUAAAACAUCGAACUGGUACGAA